UAUNGUUGAUCAUGGCUCAGAUUGAACGCUGGCGUGCAAAGCCUAACACAUGCAAGUCGAGCGGAUGAGUGGAGCUUGCUCCAUGAUUCAGCGGCGGACGGGUGAGUAAUGCCUAGGAAUCUGCCUGGUAGUGGGGGGCAACGUUUCGAAAGGAACGCUAAUACCGCAUACGUCCUACGGGAGAAAGCAGGGGACCUUCGGGCCUUGCGCUAUCAGAUGAGCCUAGGUCGGAUUAGCUAGUUGGUGGGGUAAAGGCCUACCAAGGCGACGAUCCGUAACUGGUCUGAGAGGAUGAUCAGUCACACUGGAACUGAGACACGGUCCAGACUCCUACGGGAGGCAGCAGUGGGGAAUAUUGGACAAUGGGCGAAAGCCUGAUCCAGCCAUGCCGCGUGUGUGAAGAAGGUCUUCGGAUUGUAAAAGCACUUUAAGUUGGGAGCGAAGGGCGAGUNAAGGGUUAAAUACCUUUGCUGUUGUUUGACGUUNACCAAAGCGAGGAAUAAAGUCAGCCCGGGCGUAAAGCUUUCGGUGCCCAGCANCCGCGGUAGAGUACGAAAGGGUNGCCAAGCGUUUAUCUUCUGUGNAACCUUUGUCUCUNGUGGGCNGNUGUUAGAGAGCNGCGCUCGUUUGGUGUCGCUCGUUCUUGGUCCUCACGACGCCUCGGUCUUUNUGAGAGAUNUCCUCCGGGGGGUCUUCGCACCCNUUGGGGGAACGUUGGUCCCCCUUAACUGUGCCUUUGACUUAGAGAUUCCGGGCGAAGGUGGUGUGGGAUUUCCCUGUUGUUACCCGGNAAAUCGUUUAUUUUGGAGGC
rnacentral:rRNA from 1 species